rnacentral:rRNA from 1 species
AGGACGAACGCUGGCGGCGUGCUUAACACAUGCAAGUCGAGCGGUGAUCCUCCUUCGGGAGGUGAUCAGCGGCGAACGGGUGAGUAACACGUGGGCAACCUGCCCCUCACACUGGGAUAACCUCGGGAAACCGGGGCUAAUACCGGAUACGACCUCGAGCGGCAUCUCUUGAGGUGGAAAGCUCCGACGGUGAGGGAUGGGCCCGCGGCCUAUCAGCUUGUUGGUGGGGUAAUGGCCUACCAAGGCGACGACGGGUAGCCGGCCUGAGAGGGCGACCGGCCACACUGGGACUGAGACACGGCCCAGACUCCUACGGGAGGCAGCAGUGGGGAAUAUUGCGCAAUGGGCGAAAGCCUGACGCAGCGACGCCGCGUGAGGGAUGAAGGCCUUCGGGUGUAAACCUCUUUCAGCAGGGACGAAGCGAAAGUGACGGUACCUGCAGAAGAAGCACCGGCUAACUACGUGCCAGCAGCCGCGGUAA